rnacentral:ncRNA from 2 species
UUUAAUAUAUUAUUUUUAGGUGCUCAUAGGAGCUUAAAAGGGAAAGUGUGAAACACUGCAGCCCCCGCUACUGUAUAUGGAGACAAGGCUUGAAUACCACUGUGAUAAACGGGAAGGUAAGCUAAGGAUGAACCAUAAGCCAGGAGACCUACCUAGAAAUUAAUAAUCAC